AACUGAUACUACCUGCGGGAACCUGCGGAAGGAUCAUUACCGAGUGAGGGCCCUCUGGGUCCAACCUCCCACCCGUGUUUAUCGUACCUUGUUGCUUCGGCGGGCCCGCCUCACGGCCGCCGGGGGGCACCUGCCCCCGGGCCCGCGCCCGCCGAAGACAUCAUUGAACUCUGUCUGAAGAUUGCAGUCUGAGUAGAUUAGCUAAAUCAGUUAAAACUUUUAGCAAUGGAUCUCUAGAUC
rnacentral:misc_RNA from 1 species